AGAUUAGCACCACAGCUUGUCUGUAAGGAUUGAAGCUGGGAAAGGGCCAUUGGAGCUGAAUUUUAUGGAAACUGUGGCUGCAGCAAUGAUUAUGUGAUAAAAAUGAAGAAUGAUAUUCAAAAUUUUUUGUAUAUGUUUCAAAAAUGUAAUUUUUUAUAAAAAAUUAAAAAAUUAAAAAAAAAGGUGUAAAGAUUCUCCAUUUUCAAUUAGAUUGGAAGCUUGUAUUUACAAUUGUUAGAUCUUCUUCGUUAUUCCCCCACCCCCUGUAUCUCUAUUUCAUUUUUACUUUGAAAAUGAAAUGGAACAGACCAAUUUUACUUGUCAACUUAAUAAUGGUCUGUCUAGUCCAAAGGCCUCCAGUCGGUUUAGAAUGGAGAAUCUAAAAAAAAAAAAAAAAAAAAAAAAAAAAUGUAUAGUGUGUUUUUUUUAGUUUCCUGAAUUUUUUAAAACUUUUUGUUAUUGCUCCCUUCCAAUUUUUAUAAAUUUCAGAUUUUAAGUUUGGAUUUAUGGGGCUUUAUUCAUAAAAAAGGGGGGAUUUUUAACACUUCGGACAAUAACUCAAAAAGGCUUUCACCAAUGUCCAUGGUGAAUUGUUUAUAUCUAUUGAUGUAAGCUCCCUUUCAAUUUUUAUAAAUUUCAGAUUUUACAUUUCCGUGUUAUGAAUUUUUAUGCUUAAAAAAGGGGGGAUUUUCCAAUUUUGGGACAAUAACUAACACUUUCACAAAAUUUUAUGCAACUUUGAUAAAUUGUUUAUAUCUAUUGACAUAAGCUCCCUUUCCCUUUUUACAAAUUUUAGAUUUUACGUUUUCUUAAGUAAUGAAUUUUUAUACUUAAAAAAGGGGGAUUUUAUGCAACUUUGUUGAAACUUAAAAGAGCGUAUCAUGUGCUAAAGCGCAGCCCUUUAUUGAAAUGUGUUGUAGUUUAAACAUAUUAUUUCUUUAUUUUAAUUAUACAAAUUUUGUAUUGUUGUUAAAUAUUUAAAGGGUGUGGAGUCUCAACAGGGUGAAAUUUUCAGGAUAAAAGGGAGGUAAUUCCUUUGUUAUACUCGUUAUACUUGAAAUUUCCUGAGUGUUUAUAUGGAAUAUAACUUUUUUAAUUAAAAUAUCACUUUUGUACACAUUUUCUUUAAAUAUCAGAUGUAUACUUGCUAAAAUUACUAUUAUUUAGAGUUCUGUAAAUAAAAAAAAAUGUAAGCAGAGCUCUAGCUAUAAAUAAUAGAUUUGGAGGGUGGGAGAAAUUGUGGGUAACUACAAUUGAUUAGGUGAAUUUUCAAAAAACUUAAAAAGUGCAUCUGAUAUUUAUUUUUACAUAAUGUUAUUUCUGAAAGAAAAUGGACAAUAAGAUGAGGACAUAAACCACCUUUCAGGUUAGGAUAGCAGCUCUUAAAAGGAAGAUGGUCAAUUAAAUCUUCAACCAAGUCUGAGGCCUUACCAGGAAAAAUAUGUGGUUGUUGAAAUUACAAUGUUUUCAUGGUGUGGGGAGUAAGACUUGAAUAUCUGAUAUUGUUAACAUGAUGGUUAGCAUCACAAGUUUCCUUUGGGUAACUUGCUUGAGGAGUAAAGAGAGCUGUUUAAGUUGAAAGUGUCUUUUUGCUGCCUUGUGUGGUACCAUCCUCAGACAAUAUCCGGCAAACCAUGGAUGAACUAUUACUAUCUUUUUUAGUAGAAUCCUUAGACAGUAAUCUUGUGGCAGAAUGAGUUGUAAACAAAUAGUUUUUAUUGCUGUAUUGAGUUUCAAAUUGGAUAUUUUUUUAUUUAUAUUUAAUAUUUGUAUUCCAUUUGCAUUCAAUUAUUGUUUUUUAAUUGAUGAAUUGUUAAAACUGUUAAAUUUUGAGGGGUCCUAAAGGACUUUCUUAGAGGGGGCCUGCGCAAUUGAUUAAACAAUUUUUUUCCCGCAACAGGGAGAGGAGACAUCCCCAUAAAUAUGCCUUUGAAAUGGGGUGUUAAAGAAGAUUUGUAUUGUUUGUUUGUCCAUCAUCAGCUUUCAUCCACAGCUUGGUAGAUUUUCAUUGAAACUUUCAGCUGAUUUUCUGUACUAAAGGCAGUAUGUUUUUUAAUUUACUAUAAUGAAAUUUUGGGUUUUCCCAACCCUUUUGAAGUGAAAACAAUGGAACACAGUGUUGGCAGAUACUGAAGAUUAUUUGAAAGUUUAGAGAAAGUCCCAUUUAAUCUUCAUAAUUGUGGGUUAAAGUUGUAGAUGGAUAAGCAAACAUAUCAUACACUUACUCACUUUACCUAUUGGCGAAUCCAGAACUUUACAUAAAGGGGCCCAACACCAGUCAUUCCCUGUACAAUCAACCAAAUUUUUCCUCCGAAAGGUUUUUUUUUGGGGGGGGGGGAUAUUUAAUAAAGAUUAAUGUGCUUAGAAAUUUGGUGUGAGUAAAUAAACUUUACUUUAUAUUUUAAAACAGCAUGUGAUUAAAAAUAUGAAAUGAAUUGUUAAACAUAUCCUUGGUGAUCUAAUAAUUUUUUGCACAGAUCAAGAUAUUUAGUCAGUGGUGGAUCCAGAAAUUUUCCAGGAAUAUGGGGGGCACUGACUGCUUGAGCGGGGCCCUGCUCCAGUCAUGUUUUAGUGAUUCCCUAAAUAUUAAACCAAAUUUUUCCCACUGAAGGGGGCCCUCUGAAAAAUCCUCUUAAUCCACGUCUCUGUUUUGUUUUUUAUAACCCAGUAAAUAAGUUGAGUUUGUUCUCAAAAAAUAAUUUGAUUCAUGUAUUUUUUAUUGUAGCAUAAACAUAGCUUUAAUUUCCUUUGUUUAAGAAUUGUAAUGUUUUUUUAAUGUCAUUUUUAAAAGUUGGCACUAA